rnacentral:ncRNA from 1 species
CAACCAGGUAGAGGUCGCGAGGUUCAUUAACCCUGUCGAGUGAAGCAACACUUUGACGCAGGACUAGGGAACAUCGCCGAAACGCUUUUUUAGCUGCUUUCUAAAAAACGUUGGGUCGCAAGUGAAUAAUUUGCGAACUGUCUUAGUUUCGACUAAGGUGCGCUAUGUUUUGU